AAUGAGAAUCAUAAUAACCCUCGUUUCCUCUUCAGCACGGUUGCAAAACUGACUAGAAAUAAAGAACAAACAGAAACCAAUAGUAAACUUCAACACAAUAGUGAUGACUUCAUGAACUUCUUUUCUAACAAAAUUACGUCUAUAAGGGAAAACAUCGUAGCUACCCAGGCAGCCACCACUCAACCCGUUAGUUCACUUAACACUAGACUACCAUACGAACAUCUUGAUUCAUUUAAACCUACUACAAUAGAUGAGCUCUCUAGACUAGACUAGUUACAUCAUCCAAAUCAUCAUCCUGUAUAUUAGACCCCGUUCCCACAAAACUGCUUAAAGAGGUAUUCCCUGUAGUGUCAACCCCGGUUCUAAAUAUCUUUAACUCAUCGCUAGAAAUAGGAUAUGUUCCAACAGCUUUCAAACUAGCAGUUAUUAAACCGCUGAUUAAAAAAACGCAGCUUGAUCAGGGAGAGCUUAAUAACUUUAGACCAAUCUCAAAUCUACCUUUUCUUUCGAAAAUAUUAGAAAAGGUAGUGGCAAGCCAGUUACGCACAUUCUUGACAAAUAAUAGUACAUAUGAAAAGUUCCAAUCAGGAUUCAGGCCCCACCAUAGCACAGAGACAGCGUUGCUUAGAGUUACAAAUGACCUCCUAUUAACAUCCGAUCGUGGUGAAAUCUCAAUUCUUAUAUUAUUAGACCUUAGUGCAGCCUUUGACACAAUAGAUCAUACAAUCUUACUCAAUAGACUAGAAAACUAUGUUGGUAUCAGUGGUCAGGCGCUAGCCUGGUUUAGGUCGUAUCUAACCAAUCGCUAUCACUUUGUUUAUGUAAACGAGGAAGAGUCAUAUCACUCCCUGGUUAAAUACGGUGUACCGCAGGGAUCGGUUUUAGGUCCUAUCCUGUUCUCGUUAUACAUGUUACCUCUAGGAGACAUUAUCAGGAAACAUAACAUAAGUUUUCACUGCUAUGCGGAUGAUACCCAGCUUUACAUCUCCUCACAUCCCAGCGAAACACACACGUUUUCUAAGCUAACAGACUGCCUUAGCGAUGUUAGUGACUGGAUGGCACAUAACUUUCUUAAGCUGAACUCCAAUAAGACAGAGAUACUUAUUAUUGAACCGAAUCGCUACAAACAUAAUAUGUCAGAUUACAAGUUGCACAUAGAUGGCUGCACUGUGGUGCCAUCUUCCACGGUUAGGAACUUAGGUGUGAUGUUCGACAGCAACUUAUCCUUCGAUAGUCAUAUCGCCAACGUCUGCCGCACAGCAUUCUUCCAUCUUAGAAAUAUCUCGAAAAUACGCCAUAUACUGUCUACAUCUGACGCAGAGAAGCUUAUCCAUGCUUUUAUGACCUCUAGAAUAGACUAUUGUAACUCGCUACUCGGGGGAUGCCAUGCAAAUCAAGUAAACAAGCUUCAGCUAGUUCAAAACGCUUCCGCAAGGGUACUUACUCGAUCUAAAAAAUAUGACCACAUAAGCCCAAUUCUGGCAUCUUUACACUGGCUACCAGUUAAAUAUCGCAUACAAUUUAAAAUAUCACUAAUCACCUACAAAGCUUUAAAUGGCCUAGCACCCUCAUAUCUUAGAGAAUUACUAUCAGAAUACAAUCCAUCACGCACACUACGGUCGCAAAAUUCUGGUCUCUUGAUUAUCCCUAGACUAUCAAAAGUGUCUAAAAGUGGAAGGUCAUUUUCCUACUUAGCCCCUAAGCUCUGGAAUGAUUUACCAACCGAUGUCCGAGAAUCAGACACAGUCGAUAAUUUUAAAUCUAGACUUAAAACUUUUCUCUUCAACAAAGCAUUCGCAUAAUUUGUCUAGUAAAAGUACUUAACUCGAAAUAGUUAUCUGUACAAAACAAAGCACUCGCGGUCAUAACACAGAUCAACCAAAUAAAUAAAUAAAAAUCUUAUCUUAACCUAUAGUCGGAUUGCGAUUUUGGAACUUUCGUGUUCUUGUGAAUAGUAUGCCAUACAAACCCGUUUGCCACUGAACCUGCAUUAACGACGACAGUGGGGCCUCCAGCCUUAGUCAAACGGGUUGGCACGUAUGGUUGGGUUGUGAUUUUGGCGCUUUCUUUGUAUUGCAAAUAGUAUGCCAUACAGACCCGUUUGCCACUGAACCUGCAUUAACGACGACAGUGGGGCUUUUGGCCUUAGUCAAACGGGUUGGCACGUAUGGUUGGGUUGUGAUUUUGGCGCUUUCUUUCUAUUGCGAAUAGUAUGCCAUACAGACCCGUUUGCCACUGAACCUGCAUUAACGACGACAGUGGGGCCUCCAGCCUUAGUCAAACGGGUUGACACGUAUGGUCAGGUUGCGAUGUUGGCGUUUUUUCGUGAUCUUGUAAAUAGUAUGCAAUAUAGACCCGUUUGCCACUGAACCUGCAUUAACGACGACAGUGGGGUUACAGGCCUUAGUCAAACGGGUCGACAGGUUUCAUUUUCUCUUAAAGACCGGAAGGUGACCCUUAGUUACCAUAUAUACCGUCGCAGUGGGCCCCCAAUUUGCAAAAUCCUCAACUGUGGAUAAUAUAAUUAUGCUGCAAUAGUUAGUCUGUCUGAAACUAAGCUGAUUCAACCACAUCACUGUGUGACACUUGCAUUACAUGUGAACGGCCCCUACGCUAAUAUGAUUUUGUUUUUCUCUCCCUGUCUCGUCCCUGGGUCCCAUUGACCCUGAGGACAAUGGGACAAACAGACCCAGUUCCGGUAGAUGUGAAAGUCGGCACACCUCUGAUCUACUGGUCGUCCUUCAAUGUGAUGCCCAGCUGAUGCCUGACCAACGACCACCGGCAGGACCCGCUUAAUAUCCGCUUAAUAUCCGCUUAAUCUCUGCUUAAUCUCUGCUUAAGCUCCUUAUCCGUUAAUAUGUGUGUAUAUACAUGUAUAUCUCCCAAGGGUUUUUCCCUCCUAGGAUUUUUAUUUUUAUUUCCUCGGCUAAACAACCCGGGGUUUUUGUUUUUUUUCUCCUAGGGGGUUUUUUACCCCGGGGAGGUAGCCUGCUUGGGCUUAACUUAGCUUCUUCUUCUCGACGUUACAUUAGUAAUAUGCUCGCUCAUAAUGUCGCGUCAUAGCCGCAGCAAAUUUGACUGCUUAUGCUAUUGUGUAUUAUGUUAUGCUAUCUGUCGUUUUUCUGUGCUUUUACUGCUUUUAUUAAUGUAAAGCUGCUUUGAAACAAUUGAGUAUUGUGAAAAGCGCUAUAUAAAUAAAAUUGAAUUGAAUUGAAUACAACAAUUAAAGGAUAAUUGCAGACUACGUCCUGAUGAAGAUAUGGAUGACCUUCUGUCUGGUCAACAAUAGUUUAAAUAUGGAUGGGACAGUGAUGUGGCAGCUCUUCCCUGGCUCAUUCACCUCUUGCCUUCAUUUGUGAAAGGAAGAAAGACUGGAGAGGGGGUCAAUGUGCAACUGAAGCUACUGAUUGUGCUGUGUGAUGAGCAUCAAUCCAUGCUUUGAGGUGGAUGGAUCAGCACAGCCCUGCCUGCUCUGCGUUGGGAACAGAAGUUUCAUCCAGAGUUUUUGCAUCAUUCUGGACCAAAACUCCAUUCCCUGCAUGAUGAAGACCACUGAUGCAGCCUCCCACUACAUCAUGAGUAAAACAACUACAGAACUUAAUACCAGGUUGGAACGUAUUUAAGAAAAAUUAAACGUCUUUUGAAUUGAAAUGUCUGUUUUGUUAUGGAAAAAUCUUUAGUAUUGUGAAGGAUAAGCAUUUCUGCCUGCCAGUAAGGUAAUUGCAGUGUAUUUUAAUAUUCAAGUUUUGAGUAGGGUGGCUAAUUUUUUUAAACUCUCAUUUGAUUUAUUAAAGACUUUAUAAUAAGUGGUUUUCAUGUCACUGCGCUGUGGUGUAAGAUAAUUUUCAUUAUUCCAUAUUGUAUUCUGUUUCUAAUUGUAGCUGAGGUAUUUAAAUAAGCAGUGUUAAAUGCAAAGUGUUGUGUGUAUCAAUGU